rnacentral:rRNA from 1 species
AUUGAACGCUGGCGGCAUGCUUUACACAUGCAAGUCGAACGGUAACAGGGGGCUUGCUCCGCUGACGAGUGGCGAACGGGUGAGUAAUGCGUCGGAACGUGCCGAGUAGUGGGGGAUAACGCAGCGAAAGUUGUGCUAAUACCGCAUACGUACUGAGGUAGAAAGUGGGGGACCUUCGGGCCUCACGCUAUUCGAGCGGCCGACGUCUGAUUAGCUAGUAGGUGAGGUAAAGGCUCACCUAGGCGACGAUCAGUAGCGGGUCGGAGAGGAUGAUCCGCCACACUGGGACUGAGACACGGCCAGACUCCUACGGGAGGCAGCAGUGGGGAAUUUUGGACAAUGGGCGAAAGCCUGAUCCAGCCAUGCCGCGUGUCUGAAGAAGGCCUUCGGGUUGUAAGGGACUUUUGUCGGGGAGGAAAUCCCCAGCGCUAAUACCGCUGGGGGAUGACAGUACCUGAAGAAUAAGCACCGGCUAACUACGUGCCAGCAGCCGCCGUAAGAC